rnacentral:rRNA from 1 species
UACGUAGGGUGCGAGCGUUUAAUCGGAAUUACUGGGCGUAAAGCGUGCGCAGGCGGCUUUGCAAGACAGAUGUGAAAUCCCCGGGCUCAACCUGGGAACUGCAUUUGUGACUGCAAGGCUAGAGUACGGCAGAGGGGGAUGGAAUUCCGCGUGUAGCAGUGAAAUGCGUAGAUAUGCGGAGGAACACCGAUGGCGAAGGCAAUCCCCUGGGCCUGCACUGACGCUCAUGCACGAAAGCGUGGGGAGCAAACAGG